rnacentral:tRNA from 1 species
GGUUCUGUAGCUUAGCUGGUAGAGCACGCCACUCAUAAUGGCGCGGUCGUUGGUUCGAAUCCAGCCAGAACCACCA